GCUAUAUAGCUUUGAAACCCCAGUUCCUAUACAAUCACUGAAGUUAAGCAAUGUCGAGUCUGUUCAGUACCUAAAUGGGUGACUACUUGUGAAUAGCAGGGGCUGUAAG